AAACGGUCUCGGCUAAUAUCCGUGACAANUGACGGUACCGGAAGAAGAAGCACCGGCUAACUACGUGCCAGCAGCCGCGGUAAUACGUAGGGUGCGAGCGUUAAUCGGAAUUACUGGGCGUAAAGCGUGCGCAGGCGGUUUUGUAAGUCAGAUGUGAAAUCCCCGGGCUUAACCUGGGAACUGCNUUUGAAACUGCAAGGCUAGAGUGCGGCAGAGGGGGNUGGAAUUCCCCGUGUAGCAGUGAAAUGCGUAGAUAUGNGGAGGAACACCGAUGGCGAAGGCANCCCCCUGGGNUANCACUGACGCUCAGGCACGAAAGCGUGGGGAGCAAACAGGAUUAGAUACCCUGGUAGUCCACGCCCUAAACGAUGUCAACUAGUUGU
rnacentral:rRNA from 1 species